AACGAACGCUGGCGGCAGGCCUAACACAUGCAAGUCGAGCGGACAUCUUCGGCUGUUAGCGGCGGACGGGUGAGUAACGCGUGGGAACGUGCCCUUUGCUCCGGAAUAGCCUCGGGAAACUGGGAGUAAUACCGGAUGUACCCUUUGGGGGAAAGAUUUAUCGGCAAAGGAUCGGCCCGCGUUGGAUUAGGUAGUUGGUGGGGUAAUGGCCUACCAAGCCGACGAGCCAUAGCUGGUUUGAGAGGAUGAUCAGCCACACUGGGACUGAGACACGGCCCAGACUCCUACGGGAGGCAGCAGUGGGGAAUCUUAGACAAUGGGGGAAACCCUGAUCUAGCCAUGCCGCGUGAGCGAUGAAGGCCUUAGGGUUGUAAAGCUCUUUCACCGGGGAAGAUAAUGACGGUACCCGGAGAAGAAGCCCCGGCUAACUCCGUG
rnacentral:rRNA from 1 species